CCUACGGGUGGCAGCAGUGAGGAAUAUUGGUCAAUGGCCGGAAGGCUGAACCAGCCAUGCCGCGUGAAGGUCAGUGCCCUAUGGGCGUUAAACUUCUUUUGUGCGGGAGCAAUAAUGGUCACGUAUGGCCAGACGAGAGUACCGUACGAAUAAGCAUCGGCUAACUCCGUGCCAGCAGCCGCGGGAAUACGGGUGUUGCAAGCGUUAUCCGGAAUUAUUGGGUUUAAAGGGUGAGUAGGCUGUGAGGUAAGGCAGCGGUGAAAUGCCCCCGCUCAACGGGGGGAAGUGCCAUUGAUACUGGCUUGGUGGAAUGCGGAAGCGGUGGGAGGAAUGUGUGGUGUAGCGGUGAAAUGCAUAGAUAUCACACAGAACACCGAUUGCGAAGGCAUCUCACGAAUCCGCGAUUGACGCUGAUGCACGAAAGCGUGGGUAUCAAACAGGAUUAGAUACCCGGGUAGUC
rnacentral:rRNA from 1 species